CCUGUCUUGUGAACCUAACACCAAAACCGGGGUUUUUUUUUGUGCUUUUAAACGAAAGGUGGCUUGCGUACAGCUUAUUUUUGCCUUACAAAAUAAAAAAUCCCUGUCUGGUGUUCCAUAUGCUGGGAAGGGUUUUGGCUCCUUUUUAACCCAAAAAGCCCCAUUUGGCUUCUGUCCAACCAAACUGUUCUAUUCUUCUCUCGUUCUCUCUUUGCCAAACUGAAGCCGAAGCGGAAGCCUUCACUUUUCUCGCUUGAUCUUUUGCACCUAUCAUUUUCUAACUUCUUGUAGAAGCGUAAUGUCUCCCUCAUGUCAACGUAGAGGAGUAGUUCAUACUACUUACCCAAAGUAGUAGUGCAGUUAAUAGAUUUAUUUAUUUAUUUUUAAUAUAUGAAUUUGUUUGUAUCAACUGUAGUUCUACUGUGAUUCUGCCAAUUGUUCGAGUUCGGUUCUGAGUGCAAGGCACAAACCUUUCAUUUAUUGAUCAUAUUCUGUGCCACUCGAAGUCCAAUUGUGCAAACUAGUCGGUAGAACCGUUUAAUAGCCUGAGGACAAUGUUCCUUCGUAUUUAGGAAAAUGUAUCAUGUUGGUUGUAUCUUGUUUGGAAGGAAAUUACUUCUAAUACGAUUAACAUCCUUGGAACAUGUAAGACAGUGUCUUGUAAAUAAUUUGUUGAUCUGUAUGUCAUUUGCAUGUUAUUCUAUUUUGAAAGAUGACUGUGAAAUAAUGUGCUGAUCUAUAAUAGAUUUUUUGCAUUGGUUAUUAAAUUUCUCUAUCUUCUUAAUGGCAUCAUUUUGAUUUUUUGAAUUGAUUUUUUUUUGAAGUGGUUGAAGUGAUGGUUGCUAAAUUGUGAUGCUUUCUUGUGAUUGUUUUAUGUAAGUAUUGUGUGUGUGAGCUCUUGUAUAUCAGAAGUAAUGAAAGUUGACAUUUUUCAAAAAAAAAAAAGCCUUUAGAUGACUGAAUUUUGGAUAUUAAGCAGUUGGUGUUUUAAUAAAGUGACACAUGCUGAAUUUAGAUAAACAUCCAAUAAAAUGGGCAUGUUUCAGCCAUCUAUCCUUAGUACACCUUGUCUAUUAGUGCAUCCAUGAUCCUUACUAAUAUUUUGAUUUGGAUGUCUACAAAAUACGCCAUAACAAUGUGUCUAUCUGUAAUAUGAAAGAUGUUUGUUAAAUAAUGUGCUGAUUUGUAAUGGAUUUUUUUCAUUGGUUAUUAUAUUUUUCUCUCUUCUUAAUGGCAUCUUUUGAUUUUUUUGAAUUGAUUUUUUUUUAAACUGGUUGAAGUGAUUAAUGGUCUGUGACAAAGUAUUUUGUAUAAUGGUUUACCAUGGAAUUUAUAUUGAUAUUAACAAAUGAAGCAAAUCUUACCUCAUGCUUUAACCCAACUUCUCAUUCUUUUUAUCUCUAUAAAUUUCCAUAUUUGUUGGGUUGUAUUCUCUAUGUUUUCAUUAGGCAUUCUUUUUAUAUAUUGUGAUGAUUUUGAGUUUAAAGUGAAAUUGGUGCACAUAAGUGUGUAUGUCAUUUAUUUUAGUAUGCAUGUUACCAACACAUCAUGACAUGCAUUUCAAAGCCAUUUGUUGUUGUACACAGAAUUCUUUUCUUUCUCCUUAAAGCCUUCAAGAUGUUGCCAGUAUUUCUUCAUCUUGAUUUCCAUGCAGAAAGGUAUUUUCAUAUCUAAUUGUUCUAAAUCAAAGUUAUGUAAAGCAUUUGUAGUAAUAACAAACCAAAUAUAUAUUGUGAUGUGUAUGUCAUUUAUUUUAGUAUGCAUGUUACCAACACAUCAUGACAUGCAUUUCAGAGCCUAUGGCACAAGAAGAUGACUUGUUGUACAUGAAAGAUGAUUAUGUUUGGCUAGUAGCCGCUGCUGGGUUGGAGAGGAAUAAAAUUUAUAUUGAUGAGACUUUUAGCAUCAUCGAACAUUGGCCCCUUACAGAUGAGCAGGUGGAUUUGGUUAGACAGAUGGGGCUAUGACCUCUUGUUCAGUACGCUAACAUGGAGGGGGCACCACGACAUAUUGACCACGAUCUUAUGGAGGCAGUGACAGAGAAAUGACGGCAAAGAUGAAUUCACUGCACUGUCCACGAAAAGUUGGUGAAAUGAUGCCAACCUUAUAUGAUGUGUGGCAUAUUUUCCAGCUUAGAGUCACAAGUGAGCCGGUAUUGACAAGGAUAUACCCAUAUGGGCAAUACUUGUUAUGAUGGUUAGGACGCGUCUCGGGAAAUGAUUUACUAUUUUAUUUUAUUUUUGAAAUGAUUUACGAUUUUAAAAUUCACCAUUCAUUGAACUUCACUUGGUUGAGAGAGACUUUUGGGAAUCUACCAGAAAAUCCUACACGGCAACAAAUAGAACGACACACUAGGGCAUUUUUGCUAUAUUUAGUAGGCAGCACCAUUUUCCGCAGUCGAAAAAUAAUGAAGUCCCUAUUAGAUAUUUGACCUUGUUCGAGGAUUUUGAUGUUGUGGGCAGGUACACAUGGGGGGGCGCGACCCUAGCAUAUCUUUUUAGGGGCCUCAAGAAGUUCGUUACUGUUAAAAUUAAGAGGGGGAGGCAAAAUGUAUUGAAUAAUGUUCAGGCGGCACCCGGUCCUCACCUCACUAGGUGUGCAACAUUAUUUCAAGUAAACGCAUUUUGCUGUGCUACUUAUUCUUUAUUUGUAUGUCUUAAAGGGUUAUGUUUUGUGAAUUUCAUACAUUUUUUUCAGCUAUAUUUAUACAUUUCAUACAUGUUACCAUAAUUAUUGUAUGUAUGUUGGUCAGUCAAGCAUUUUAAAACAUUGCGGCUAGAGGGAGGCAGUCGACGAGUUGAAGCUGGUAGACUAAGGGCUGCAAGAUGGGUACACCCAUGCACAUGGGAUAACCCAGUUGGGAAUGUCGCAUGCUACCGACACGAAUUAGAUCUCCUUGAACUUGAUAGGUUAUAAUUGCAAUGCUUAUUAGUUUAUAUACAUACUCUUGCACUUGAAAGUUAUUCAUAUUUAUUGAUGUAAAUUGGUUUAUAUAUAUGUUAUCCAUUCCUACAAGUAUUAUGGAAACCAUUGUUGUAUGUCAUUUUUGACGUACCUACUUCCUUCACAAAUAAGGAGAGAGCCAGUGACAACUUGGUUUUGUUGGCACUCAAGAUACUGUCAGACGAAAGUUGUACUGAGAAAUAAGCCUUAGUUUGGACAACCUGGGAGGCGUGCUGUCAUGUCAAGAAAGGACCUUAAAACUAUAGCCCUGUGCUAGCGGCUCCGGAGUAGUACCAGACCGCCGUAAUCACAUUCAGAAAGUCAGAAAACCCCCGAGGAUCAAAUUCGGGCUCAAUCAAACCACCCAAGAGGGUCCUACGCCCGAAUUGCCUCAAAAGGGGUAGGCCUUACGCUAUCGCGGUGCGGCUUGACUGAACCAGUCCCCAAUCAUGGAGGCUGCGACUUCACGUUUUGGGAUGUCUUCAAAGAUUCACAGGGCCUUCGUCCAGAAUCAGCAAAAGCUCAAAUUUGGACAUAUUCUAAACCGCAGCAAGCCCGUCAUUUUGACAUAAGGCUUGCGCCAUGGCGCGACCUAAAGUCAAACUUUUGCCAAAAAGAAGAUGAGCACGUAACCAGAAAAACUAGGGUUUCAAGUAGAGACAUCUCGAACCUCGCAGAACACAACUCGUUAUCCGUGCAUCUGAUCAACGCAAGACCGAGUUCAAUGCAACCGCCUCGCGAGGAGCUGCAAACUAAUAUAACUGUUGUGCUUAAUCCAAGGUCAGAUGAGCACAAAUCCCAAGGUUACAGAAAAGCAAGACCGCUCAGAUGUCGGAAACCCUCUUUUUUCGGUGACUUCCCAAAUUAGGAAAUGCUGCAAAUGAAGGCCAGAACGGACCAUACUUGGUGCAAAACGACUGUGACGGGCUCUUCUUUCACUUACAAACGAACCGAAGACUCAGAGCAUUACAAGUCGAACGACAUUGGUGAUUGAAGUUCAUGAAUUUAGCCUGAUUCCCACCCAGCAGAAUAGGUUGCCUCAGCACGAUUACAGGGCAUCAAAAUGCUCACAAUCUAACAAACAUUGAAGAUAUAGUGGCAAAUCGUUUGAUCCAUCACUGCAAGUUGCUGAAAAAGCUUCCAAGACCUGGCAAUGGUGGAGGCCCCUCAGAGAGCGAUGAUUUAGCACAAAAGGUUUUAGGGGUGUUUUGGUCAUUGGGCCUAAUUUUGGGAUUUUACUUCAAUUUAUUUUAUUCACAAUUAAGUUUAGUUUUUGAGCAUCCACUUCUGUUUGGUGAGUUCUCUAUAUAAACAAGCUUAGGUCAAUUGUAAAAAGGCGGAUUAUUCUUCAUUUAAAUAGAGGCAUAACGCUUGUUUUCGCUUGUCUUUUUGCUUCUUACCUUUAAUCCUGCUGAGAAGAGAGAGAAAACUUUUCCAAGGGAGAGAAAAUACCCCCCAAGUGCGCAGACCCUUUUCCUCUUUUUUUUUGACAAGUCAGGCCACACCUCGAGCCUCCUCUCUCUCAAUGCGAGCGUACUCGAGAGCCCCAACUCUCCUGUCGCCAGGCCAAACACCCGGACGUCGGACAUCUGUGCAGACGGAAGGUCUCCACCGCCCUUCUUUCGCACUCCUGCCUUGUCGUCAGUCAGCCUCCUCGGGGGAAUUGCAGUGAAGAGGGAUGAUCGAGCCCCAUUACAAUCGCACGCACGAGAGCGAGAGAAUAGACCAGUCGAAAUCCCAGAGAGAGUUCGUGUCCAAACGGCGCUGGCAGAUAGCCGGACGGCUAUGUAGCUGUUCUAAGAGGGCAAUCCGCCCGGAAGUGUCCCACGAACCCCAAACGGCGAGGUAAGCACCCGAACACACUCCUGCCAUAAAAUCUCUCUCGUUGUUGGUUCUUGUCCACGUCCAAGGGAGCCUGUGGACAUGCACCGGCACACGUGCAACACUCGCGGACUCGUCCGAGGUUGUUUGAGAGAGGGUUUUCUCCCCCGCACGCACGACCUGCAUCCAUGAGAGGGCCCCUGAGGGAAAACAAGGCCUCGACCACCCAUAUGUAGAUCAAAAAGACAUUCGUGCUGAGGAGGUCCAUCAAAGGGUUAUAGAUCGGGAGGCAUUGGAGACCGCUCUUUGCAAGACCCAUUUGAUAUUGGACAACAUCGUAGAGCGGUACCUCCCAGACUGCGUACUGAGACAAUUUGGACUGAGACAGCCCAUCCUAGCAAAUCCCAAUAGAUGGGAAAGAUUUGAGAGGUGGGAUAAAAAUGAAGAAAACUGGGAGCAAAAACCCACCUCUCAGAUCAGAGACUGGCACGACCCGAGUCAUGGUCUACCUUCGAAGGAGUAUGAAGCGUGGUACGUGCAGGUUUCAAUCCCCAUAAUUCAUAACCCACAAAACCUUCGGACAGAUGCAUAUGCACCUCGAGGCUAUGGUGACCGCAUGACCAUUUGAUUGAAAUUGUUGACAAUGGGUUGGCGGCUCAAGACCCCAGGAGGAAUGAUCGAUAUUUUAAGGAGCUAAGGUGAGAGCUAAUAUUGUGUAAAGGCAAGUUGGUUGACGAAGAACAAGAGUCCAAUGAUGACUCUGAACAGGAGCCUGUAUUAACUGAUGAGCCACAACUGCAGAUGCACCGUGGAAGAGCUCCAAGAGGAAGAUUAGCACAGACUCAGGAGCCCCGGACUGCUGAGAGAGCGGGUCCCCGUUCAACAGCCUCUAGGAAAGGCUAAAAGUACUUGCCCCCAAAAGAGAAAGAGGACAUUGCUUUUAUAUUGUAUAAUUUUGGUGUAAAUUGUGAUACUUUUGAUAAAAUCAAUGUAAAUUAGAAAACUCUUUUGGGUUACAAUUUUAA